CUGGUUCGGCGCACUUGGCCCGUCUCGGUUUACGGGAUUGUGUGCCGGUGUGCGCCAUCCAUCCUUCGAGAGAACACUCCUACCCUUUACUGGGCCGGCGGGUGCACUUUCUCGAUCUUUUACUUUGAAAAAAUUAGAGUGUUUAAAGCAGGCUUGCGCUAUGAAUACAUUAGCAUGGAAUAAUAAUUUAGGACUUUGGUCUUAUUUUGUUGGUUUCUAGGACUAAAGUAAUGAUUGAUAGGGACAGUUGGGGGUGCUAGUAUUCAGCGGCCAGAGGUGAAAUUCUUGGAUUCGCUGAAGACUAACUUAUGCGAAAGCAUUC
rnacentral:rRNA from 1 species